rnacentral:rRNA from 1 species
GAUGAACGCUGGCGGCGUGCUUAACACAUGCAAGUCGAACGGAAAGGCCUCAGCUUGCUGGGGUACUCGAGUGGCGAACGGGUGAGUAACACGUGGGUGAUCUGCCCUGCACUUUGGGAUAAGCUUGGGAAACUGGGUCUAAUACCGAAUAUGACCACUUCUUGGAUGUUGUGGUGGAAAGCUUUUGCGGUGUGGGAUGAGCCUGCGGCCUAUCAGCUUGUUGGUGGGGUAAUGGCCUACCAAGGCGGCGACGGGUAUCCGGCCUGAGAGGGUGUACGGAAAAAUUGGGACUGAGAUCAGGCCCAGACUCCUACGGGAGGCAGCAGUGGGGAAUAUUGCACAAUGGGCGCAAGCCUGAUGCAGCGACGCCGCGUGGGGGAUGAAGGCGUUCGGGUUGUAAACUCCUUUCGCUAUCGACGAAGCCACUUGUGGUGACGGUAGGUAGAUAAGAAGCACCGGCUAACUACGUGCCAGCAGCCGCCGUAA